rnacentral:rRNA from 1 species
GACGAACGCUGGCGGCGUGCUUAACACAUGCAAGUCGAACGAAGAGCGAUGGAAGCUUGCUUCUAUCAAUCUUAGUGGCGAACGGGUGAGUAACGCGUAAUCAACCUGCCCUUCAGAGGGGGACAACAGUUGGAAACGACUGCUAAUACCGCAUACGAUCCAAUCCCGGCAUCGGGACUGGAUGAAAGGUGGCCUCUAUUUAUAAGCUAUCGCUGAAGGAGGGGAUUGCGUCUGAUUAGCUAGUUGGAGGGGUAACGGCCCACCAAGGCGAUGAUCAGUAGCCGGUCUGAGAGGAUGAACGGCCACAUUGGGACUGAGACACGGCCCAGACUCCUACGGGAGGCAGCAGUGGGGAAUCUUCCGCAAUGGACGAAAGUCUGACGGAGCAACGCCGCGUGAGUGAUGACGGCCUUCGGGUUGUAAAGCUCUGUUAAUCGGGACGAAUGGUUCUUGUGCAAAUAGUGCGAGGAUGGGACG